rnacentral:snoRNA from 1 species
AAGACUAUACUUCCAGGAAUUGUUUCUAUCAUUUGUUACUUAAGUUUCUCUGAAUGUGUAGAGCACCAGGAACCAUGAGAAGGAGGCGCAGCAUUCUCUCCUAAGUGUGAAGCUGGCUCUUAGUGUUGCUUCAUUGCAACCCCAAAUUGCCAUUUAUGAUCAUUCUUCUCUUUCUUCAAGAGAGUAAGAGAGAGAGAGAAUUCAGUUCAAGUGGU